CCCCACUUCAAACCAACUGACUAUGACUAAAUCUGUGGGUCCCAGAAAGCUGUACAUUCAGUCAGCUCUGUAGAUGAGGCUUCAACCCGUGGAGAGCCACUGCCCUGCAGCCUCCUCCAUAGGACAUAUCCCUGAUGAACCUGAGGACCAAGAGGACCUGAAGUUUAUUCCCAAAACCCAGAGAACAUCACAAGGAGACAGGUAUAUCUAGAUCGCUCCUCCCAGCCAAGGGCAUGGACAUAGAUUUGGCCAGUUUGUUUAAUAGAGCCAAUCAUAGAAAAGGCAACAGUUAAGACCUAAUUCCCAGACAGAGGGGGAACUAA
rnacentral:lncRNA from 12 species